CUGGGGCAUGCCUACCAUGCAAGUCGUACGGAGAGUGGGGCAACUCACUCUCAGUGGCAAACGGGUGAGUAACGCGUGAAUAACCUGCCUUUGAGAAGGGGAUAACUGUCCGAAAGGAUAGCUAAUACCCUAUAUUGCCUUUUGUCACUAAGGCAAAAGGUGAAAGCGAGGCUGUCAAAGGCUUCGGCUCAAAGAGGGGUUCGCGUCCUAUCAGGUAGUUGGUGGGGUAAUGGCCUACCAAGCCAAUGACGGGUAGCUGGUCUUAGAGGAUGAUCAGCCACAGUGGGACUGAGACACGGCCCGCACCCCUACGGGGGGCAGCAGUGGGGAAUCGUGGGCAAUGGGCGCAAGCCUGACCCCGCAAUGCCGCGUGAGGGAAGAAGCCCUUCGGGGUGUAAACCUCUGUCAGAUGGGAAGAUGAGACUAGGGGCUAAUACCUCCUGGUCUUGACGGUACCAUCAGAGGAAGGGACGGCUAACUACGUGCCAGCAGCCGCGGUAAU
rnacentral:rRNA from 1 species